rnacentral:lncRNA from 1 species
UCUUGCCUCUCUGGAUCAAUUAUGAGGCACGGCCGAUUCUUCGCCAGUAGCGGUCCGGCGUCUAGCAGCGCUUGCUUUGCCUCAUCUGUCUUCAAGUUCAGCAGCCACACGUGAGACAUUUGGUAUGCACCAAUUCCCCAUACCUGCUGCAUUA